CUGACUUUAUUUGUUUUUUGAAACCAGGUUUGCUGUUCACUUGCGCUAUGGAAGGGAGUUCCAUGCAAUACUGGUUCUGUACAAUACUGUACCUUUCCUUGAAUUUGUUCUGGACCUGGGGACAGUGAAAAAUAACCCUGGUGGCAUGUCUGGUGGGUGUGAAGAGGAGACGAGGGAGCCGGAUGGCACGGCAUCGGUGUCAUUAGUCUUUAUUAUCCUCCGGAGAGGAGGAGUGGAGUGGAGGGGAGGGGAGGAGCAGUGAGGGAGAGACAGGGAGCGGUCAGCGGAUCCCGUCGGGUUGAGGAUGAUACCAUCCCAAUGAUCCCAGCCUCUCCAUGACAACAGCUUCCAUGGGCUUGAGAGUGGACCGGCGACCUUUGAGAGAACUUCUGUCUUUGUUUACACUGUCAUACUGUGACAUAGUUCCCAUAACACAAUGUGACACUUGGGAGCUGUAUGAGAUAUUGUCCACUAACUCUUUGCUUUUCACCAAUGCAUGGUAAAGUGUCUGACAAAUCUGCCCAUUGAUUGAGUAGAUGUGGAUGAAAUAUAAGCGCAAGUCUAUUUGAGAGGCCCCUACAUUUUCAUCACACUCUAUCGGCUUUCUAAAUGGGUCAAAUAGGAGAGAGGGGGCGGACCAUGCACGCAGGACAGGAGAGAUGGGAGGUGGCCCUGGCAGUGUGGCACCAAGGUUAACUAAUUAGAGCAUUAGUGUGUGAUACAUGUCUCUCUCAGGUGAUCAGUCAAAGCCAUCCAGUCAUCCCCUUUCUUACCGCCCCUCAUCCCACCCCCCCCCCCCUUUCAUCCCCUCAUUACCUUCCCCUGCUAUCUCCCCUUAACACCUGCAGCCCAGCCAUCGGUUGUAGCAUUAUACAGUGGCUUCCCACAAACACACACACACGCACGAGUGAAUUUGAAACACGCAUGCAUUCGCACACGGUCGUAUCACAUGGGUCCAUACACCGCCGCUCUUUGUCCUGACGGAGCCCAGGCCCACCCAUCACGUCAAUCUAAUGGCAGCACUGUUUAUAUUUAUGUACAGAGGAUAGAGGAGGGGCAAGAAAAGGUCCCUCUCUUACUGUGGGGUUUAUUGACUAAGCAUUAAGUGGACAUUAUCAGCCAAUAGCCUGGUUAUUUAUGAGGCGGUGAUAAAGGCUUGGAGAUUGAGUUAUGUGAGAACCAGGCUCUGGAUGAAAGGUGCUCAUACAAACCGCUGAUACCCGCCGCUCGCCACUCCGUGUCUGGGUAGAGAGAGAGAGGCACGCCAGCCCAGGCUGAGGCUGGGAGAGCCGGGCCAAACCCGAGCUGAAACACUAUUGCGCGGAGGAUUUAUGGAUGAGGGCAUUUAUGCUCCUUCCACAGGUCAAACGAAGGGCUGCUGCUCUACAUUUCAUAUCUGCGUAAGACGAGGCAAAUCUAUCCUGUACGUACUGAAUUCUAUUGACCUCUUGACCUUAGCGUAAGAUGAUACUGAGGGCAGCUCAGAGAGCGAGUGUUUAAAAUGCAACAUGCUGUUAUACAUAAUGCAUGGGAAAAUAUACCUUAUUUCUCAAACCUUUUAUUGAAUAUCGCCGCUGUCCACGACUAUUCCCUGAGCCAGACUUCAGUGCUCGGUUUGGUUUUCAUUUUUAAAAAGCUGUGGCUACAGUGAAACAGCAAUCCUAUGGACCGGUAAUAUUUUCUUGUGUAAUCUAAAAGAAAAACAUGAGUUAACCUGUGAUAAAUCUGAUCCCUCCAAACACCUGCACUGUACACAGACAUACAUGUACACACACCCAAUACAGUACACACACACACACCUUCAACCAAAUUCACGACAUACACCCAUCUUCAUACUGUACACACACCCAUUCUCACCCACACAUACUGUCACUGCACACACACACACGCCUUCACCAAAAUCCACAAGCCACACACAUCCUCACCAAAGUCCACAAUGCAUACACAAACGGACUUUACCCACUGUAACUGUAACUGUACACACAGCACAGGUAUUCUUCACCCACUACCCCAAGGAAGCCAUCUUUCUCUGCACUAAACCAGGUCAACAAACAAAAAGCAAUUAUGUUGGGCAGCUGCCGCCUGGGAGUGGGUAAUUACAGUGCUGUGUGGACAGCUUCAUUCUAAACAGGUACUAAAAGCAUCAUCCAUCAUCCUCACACUCACUGACGCCCACCUCACCCUCGUCAUGUGACACGAGUGGAGUGUGUA